rnacentral:rRNA from 1 species
UACGUAGGGGGCAAGCGUUGUCCGGAAUCAUUGGGCGUAAAGCGCGUGUAGGCGGCCCGGUAAGUCCGCUGUGAAAGUCGGGGGCUCAACCCUCGGAUGCCGGUGGAAACUGUCGGGCUAGAGUCCGGAAGAGGCGAGUGGAAUUCCUGGUGUAGCGGUGAAAUGCGCAGAUAUCGGGAAGAACACCCGUGGCGAAGGCGGCUCUCUGGGACGGUACUGACGCUGAGACGCGAAAGCGUGGGGAGCGAACAGG